rnacentral:rRNA from 1 species
GAUGAACGCUGGCGGCGUGCCUAAUACAUGCAAGUCGAGCGAACAGAUGAGGAGCUUGCUCCUCUGACGUUAGCGGCGGACGGGUGAGUAACACGUGGAUAACCUACCUAUAAGACUGGGAUAACUUCGGGAAACCGGAGCUAAUACCGGAUAAUAUAUUGAACCGCAUGGUUCAAUAGUGAAAGACGGUUUUGCUGUCACUAAUAGAUGGUUCCGCGCCGCAUUAGCUAGUUGGUAAGGUAACGGCUUACCAAGGCAACGAUGCGUAGCCGACCUGAGAGGGUGAUCGGCCACACUGGAACUGAGACACGGUCCAGACUCCUACGGGAGGCAGCAGUAGGGAAUCUUCCGCAAUGGGCGAAAGCCUGACGGAGCAACGCCGCGUGAGUGAUGAAGGUCUUCGGAUCGUAAAACUCUGUUAUUAGGGAAGAACAAAUGUGUAAGUAACUAUGCACGUCUUGACGGUACCUAAUCAGAAAGCCACGGCUAACUACGUG